AUAGAGCGUUUUGAUCGGGAAAGGCCACUGAGAGGCCGUGGGGGAGGAAGAGGUGGACUGCAGGGCAGAGGCAGAGGUGGUGGUAUGAACAGGACCUUCAAUGGCUUUGAUCAAAGAGGGAAGCGGGAAUUUGACCGGCAGAGCGGGAGUGACAAAACAGGAGUCCGUCCAGAAGAUAAAAGGGGUGGAAGUGGACCACGUAACUGGGGAACUGCUAAGGAUGAUAUGAGUGAGCUGGAACAGACUCCUAUGGAAGAGACUGCAGAAACAGAAGAGAGCCCAGGAGCACCUGAUGGAGAGCCUCCAAAGAA